rnacentral:misc_RNA from 1 species
UUUCCGUAGGUGAACCUGCGGAAGGAUCAUUACAGAGUUCAUGCCCUCACGGGUAGAUCGCCCACCCUUGAAUAUUUAUACCUUAGUUGCUUCGCCAGGCCGUGGAAACACCAUGGGCUCCGGCUUAUGCGUGCCUGCCAGAGGAAACAAACUCUGUUUUUAGUGAUGUCUGAGUACUAUAUAAUAGUUAAAACUUUCAACAACGGAUCUCUUGGUUCUG